rnacentral:ncRNA from 1 species
UGCCGGGUGUGGGCGAAAUACAAUACCCGUAAGGGAAAAUAGCCCGCAGCUCCGAUGGCUGUUUUGAGCACCCGGCAAUUCCUCA